rnacentral:rRNA from 1 species
GCAAGCCUGAUGCAGCCAUGCCGCGUGUGUGAAGAAGGCCCUAGGGUUGUAAAGCACUUUCAGCGAGGAGGAAAGGUUAUAGUUUAAUAGACUAUAGCUGUGACGUUACUCGCAGAAGAAGCACCGGCUAACUUCGUGCCAGCAGCCGCGGUAAUACGAGGGGUGCAAGCGUUAAUCGGAAUUACUGGGCGUAAAGCGUACGCAGGCGGUUUGUUAAGCGAGAUGUGAAAGCCCCGGGCUCAACCUGGGAACUGCAUUUCGAACUGGCAGACUAGAGUAUGAUAGAGGGUGGUAGAAUUUCAGGUGUAGCGGUGAAAUGCGUAGAGAUCUGAAGGAAUACCGAUGGCGAAGGCAGCCACCUGGGUCAAUACUGACGCUCAUGUACGAAAGCGUGGGGAGCAACGGGAUUAGAUACCCCGGUAGUCCACGCCGUAAACGAUGUCUACUAGGAGCUGGAAUUCUUCGAAUGACUUUUCCAAGCUAACGUAGUGAGGUGGCCGUCCGGGGAGGAGGCCGCAAGGUCGAAACUCACGUGAAU